rnacentral:rRNA from 1 species
GACGGAGGAUGCAAGCGUUAUCCGGAAUGAUUGGGCGUAAAGCGUCCGCAGGUGGCAGUUCAAGUCUGCUGUCAAAGACCGGGGCUUAACUUCGGAAAGGCAGUGGAAACUGAACAGCUAGAGUAUGGUAGGGGCAGAGGGAAUUCCUGGUGUAGCGGUGAAAUGCGUAGAGAUCAGGAAGAACAUCGGUGGCGAAGGCGCUCUGCUGGACCAUAACUGACACUCAGGGACGAAAGCUAGGGGAGCUAAUGGG